GCGGCAUUUGACUGUAAGUGAAUAGUAAGACAGAACAGAAUAAAAACAACACCAACAAGAACACCAAGGUUUAUACUGGUUCGGCAAUGCCUACAACCAGUUUGGAGACAACGGAGUAUUCCACUAUAAUCAAUGAGAACAUACAAUAGUGUUUAUCACUCAAUUUUCCAAAGACCUAAAUAACCCCAAGCUCUCACACUUACAAUAGGAAAAGAAAACCAAAAAUACAAAGCAAGACAAUUUGAGAAAAUUCUUCUCUAUGCCAAAUGGCUUCUUGCUAUUUUUCUCUCUUCCUUGUUCUUCUCUACUUCUCCAUGCUUAUGGGUUGCACCUUGCCCUCCUUUUAUAGCCAAAGAAAAGCUUCUCAAAGACAUCAAUGGCCAAAGGCCUACCAUCAAGUCAAAAGGAGUUAGGCACAAAUUAGGCACAAAUCUUGUUUGCCUCCCAUUACCACAAAGUAGCCCAAAGAUUUAGACUUUGACUACAUGUUUGAGUCAAUAAUCAACAAUCUCCACCUUGACUCAAACCCUCUAAGUAGAACUCUUAAUAGUCGUCUCCCAAUCCCCCAUGGGGCAAUCAACAAAUUUUACAAAUGCCAAUCAAGUCUAAGCAGUGCUUAAACUUGUGCAAUGAAACUGGCUUUGUUAACAUAUCCGCAAGAUUGUCAGCGGUCCCAAUCUUCUGAAGAAGAAUAUCUCCCUCGUCAAUAACCUCACGAACAAAAUGGAACCUCACAUCAAUGUGUUUCGUACGUGCAUGAUGAACUUGAUUCUUUGCUAAAUGAAUAGCACUCUGACUGUCGCAAUGAACAUCCACAUGGUCUUGUUGAACCCCUAAGUCAUCAAGCAACCCUUGAAGCUAGAUGGCUUCCUUUAUAGCUUCUGUCACAGCCAUGUAUUCUGCCUCAGUAGUCGACAAAGCAACUGUAGAUUGCAGAAUCGACAUCCAACUUACUGGACCUCCAGCAAUAGUGAAUACAAAACCAGUAGUGGACCUACGCUUGUCUAAAUCACCUGCGUAAUCAGAAUCCACAUAUCCAACAACACAUUGACCAGUAACUUUAUCCUACUGGAACAAUAAACCAACAUCCACAGUACCCAGAAUAUACCGUAGAAUCCAUUUCACAGCUUGCCAAUGCCCUUUUCCUGGAUUAUGCAUAUAUCUACUGACAAUACUAACAGCUUGUGAAAUAUCAGGCCUAGUACACACCAUAGCAUACAUCAAACUACCAACAACAUUUGCAUAAGGAAUUUGAGCCAUGUACUGACUCUCUUCAACAGUUUUAGGAGACAUAGAAGCGCUAAGUUUGAAAUGAGAGGCAAGAGGUGUACUAACCGGUUUUGAAUUUUCAUUCAUCCUGAAACGUUGUAGUACCUUCUUCAAAUACUGCUUCUGACACAGACUAAUCUUGCCCUUCGCUCUAUCUCUUUCAAUUUCCAUACCUAGUAUCUUCCGAGCUUCUCCCAAGUCCUUCAUCUCAAAUUCAUUACUUAGUUGAGUCUUCAACCUUUCAAUCUCCACUUUGCUCUUACAUGCUAUAAGCAUAUCAUCAACAUAUAAAAGCAGAUAAAUGAAGGUUCCAUCUUUUAGUUUGCGAAAGUAUACACAAUGGUCAUAGUGACUUCUUGUGUACUUUUGCCCGAUCAUAAAUCGAUCAAAUCGUUUGUACCAUUGUCUUGGAGACUGCUUCAAGCCAUACAAUGAUUUUUCCAAUUUGCAAACCCAAUUUUUCUUUUCAGCAACCUUAAAACCUUCUGGUUGAGACAUAUAAAUCUCUUCCUCCAAAUCACCAUGUAAAAACGCAGUCUUGACAUCAAGUUGGGCCAACUCAAGGUCAAACUGCACAACCAAAGCCAACAAAAUACGAAUAGAAGAAUGUUUUACUACAUGAGAAAAUACCUCAUUGUAGUCGAUGCCUUCCUUCUGAGCGGAGCCUUUAGCUACCAAUCUGGCUUUGAAACUUACAUUGUCUUUUCCCAAAGAUUCCAUCUUUUUGGCAUACACCCAUUUACAACCAAUUGCUUUCUUCCCCUUUGGUAACUGAACCAGAUUCCAAGUCUCAUUUUAUGAAGAGAUUUCAUCUCCUCAUCCAUAGAUUUCUUCCACAACUCGCAGUCUGAACUCAUGACAGCUUCUUUGUAGGCGGAUGGAAUAUCAUCUUCAAUAACAGGAAGUGCAUAUGCCACAAUAUCAGUAAAUCGAGCAGGCUUUCGAAUUUCCCUUCUCGAUCUUCUGGUUGCAAUAUAGUCUUGUUGCUGUGGAGGCUCUUGGGUAAGUGCUUCCUCUUCAUCAUCCUCGUCCUCAUCAUCAGAAUUAACUGUAGGACUAGUGGUUGUAACAUCAAACCUUACUGGAACAACUGGAGUCUUCAGUAACUCCACCUGCUUUGAGCUACUUAUGGUCUCGGUCGCUUUAGUUUCACCUUCAUGCUUGUUCUGAUUAACCAUAGCAGCCUCAUCAAAAGUCACAUCUCUGCUUACAACAAAUUUCUUCUCAUUUGGACACCAGAGUCGGUAUCCCUUCACGCCAGUGCUAAAGCCCAUAAAUAGAGCUUUCUUUGCUCUUGGAUCCAACUUGCUUUCUCUGACAUAAUAGUAAGCAGAACAACCAAAUAUGUGUAAAAACUUGUAAUCAGUACAAGGUUUACCAGACCAUACCUCCAUGGGCGUUUUGCCCUCAUUCGCAGCCGCUGGUAAUCGAUUAAUGAGAUGGCUUGCAUAAGUGAUUGCCUCAUCCCAAAAUGCCUUGCCUAAUCCAACAUUAGACAACAUACACCGAACUUUCUCAAGCAAAGUACGGUUCAUGCGCUCCGCCACCCCAUUCUGUUGCGGUGUCUCCCUAACCGUGAAGUGCCUCACAAUACCCUCAUCUUGACAAACUUUCAAGAAAGGAUCAGACUUAUAUUCACCCCCAUUGUCUGAUCUGAGAGUCUUGAUCUUUCGACCGCUUUGCGUUUCAAUCAUCUUUUUCCACUUCAGGAAUAUCUUCAAGACUUCAUCUUUACGCUUCAUGGUGUACACCCAUAUUCUUCUAGAGAAGUCAUCAACAAAGGAGACAAAAUAAUGGCUACCUUCCCAAGAUGCAUUCUUGGAAGGUCCCCAAACAUCAGUGUGAACAUAAUCAAGAAUGCCUUUAGUGUGGUGAAUAGCAGUGCCAAAUUUUACUCUAGUUUGCUUACCCAACACACAAUGCUCACAGAAUUCUAAUUUGCAUGCCUUUGCACCUUUCAAUAAGCCUUGCUUCACCAAUCCUUGCAACACUUUUUCACCAGCAUGCCCAAGACGCAUAUGCCAUAACCUCGUGGUGUCUGAGCUAUCUGCGUCAGCAACUUCGGUGACAGCUGCUCCACCAAUAACUGUAUUCCCCUGCAAGAAAUACAAGUUAUUUCGUCUUGUACCUUUCAUCACCACCAGUGCCCCGUACACAGCUUUAAGAACUCCACCCUCCAUGGUGAUCUUGAGACCCUUGGAUUCCAAUGCACCCAGUGAGAUGAGAUUUUUCUUCAUAUCCGGUACAUACCGAACAUCACUUAAUUCUCUGACUGUUCCAUCAUGCAUCUUCAAAUAGAUUUUGCCUAUCCCUUGUGUUUUGCAGGCAUUAUUAUUACCCAUCAAAACAACUCCACCAUCCAGCUCCUCGAAAUUAGAAAACCAUUCCCGAAUGGGACACAUAUGAUAGGUGCAACCUGAAUCCAAAAUCCACUCAUUGGAGUAACCAUCAGCAUAUGAACUAGCCAAAGCAAACUCGAAAUCAUCAUCUCCAGAUUUUGCAAUAUUUGCUUCAGAAACCGCUUUCUCCUUCUCUUUGUUCUUCAAUUUGGGGCAGUCUUUCUUCCAAUGACCCUUUUGGCGACAAAAAGAACAUUCAUCUUUAGCAGGAAACUUCCCUCGUGACUUUGAACGAGAUUUUCCCCGCUUCCCAGAUUUUCUUUCCUCUGUUCGACCCCUUGCAACAAAUGCCUCGGUUUGUGAAUUGUGAGUCUUCAGUUCCUUCUUACGACACUCAUGAUUCACCAAUGCCGCAGACACCUCAUCAAGUUUCACCUCGGAUUUUCCAUACAACAGAGUAGUUGUCAAAUGAUCAUAAUCAUCAGGCAAUGAAUUAACAAACAUAGUGCCUUGUCCUCGUCAAGAAUUUUCACAGCAAGGUUUGCUAAAUCAGCAAGUAUUUUAUUAUAAUCAUUGAGGUGUUCGUGCAUAGAGAUACCUGGACGAUACUGAAAUCGGAAGAGACGAUUUUUUGCGCUCUUGGUCAUAUACUUCUCCUCCAAUUUGGUCCAUAACUCCUUAGCAGAAGUUUCCUUCAUAUACGGGUAUUUCACUCCUUAUCAAGGAACGAUCGAAUAGCAGCACAAGCAUGAAGAUUAAUUCGCGUCCACUGCUUGUCAUCAAUAUCUUCUGGUUUAUCUUCCAGAACCAUAUCCAACUCUUGUUGAUACAACACAUCCAUAACUUCACAUUGCCACAUACCAAAAUUAUUAGAGCCAUUGAAUUUAUCAACCUCUAACCUUGUAGUAGUGGUUGGAUGUCUAUUGGAUGAAGACGGUGCUGACCCCUUCUUUACAGAUUCAUCUUUAUCUCCAGCCAUCUGCUCGGCACUAUUCACAAAUACGGCACUGUUCACAGGUACAAUACUGUUCACAGAUACUGUAGCAGUUCACUGUUCACGGAACUGUAGCGCCAACACUAUUCACGGAACUGGGCUCUGGUACCACUUGUUGUGCGGAAGCGGCAUUCGACUGUAAGUGAAUAGUAAGACAGAACAGAAUAAAAACAACACCAACAAGAACACCAAGAUUUAUACUGGUUCGGCAAUGCCUACAUCCAGUUUGGAGACAACGGAGUAUUCCACUAUAAUCAAUGAGAACAUACAAUAGUGUUUAUCACUCAAUUUCCCAAAGACCCAAAUAACCCCAAGCUCUCACACUUACAAUAGGAAGAGAAAACCAAAAAUACAAAGCAAGACAAUUUGAGAAAAUUCUUCUUUAUGCCAAAUGGCUUCUUGCUAUUUUUCUCUCUUCC
rnacentral:lncRNA from 1 species